UGCAACUAUUAGGCAGACAUGCUGCUGCCGCUGGUCUUUCUGUUUGUGGAGUGCAUGGAGAUUGUACAGCCCUGCUAUUUUGCUAUAACUUGCAAGAAGAUUUACGAAGAGUGCACCGAAGACGGGGACUGCUGUAUCGGUAACUGUUUGAAGCUCACUAUGCCCACACCAUACUGCAAGCACUUCGAUGCCGCCUCUAGCACGAGAUAAGAACAACAUUCUUUGGUCUCCGACAAAGCGAAAGUGCUUCGUGUGGAAGAGCACGUUGCGUAUGACAUUUAUUUCAUUACAUGUCAGGAAUAAGAUGGUCUCUGGAAUGUUGAGAGAAUAAAGCAACUACUCAUGUU